rnacentral:rRNA from 1 species
CUACGGGUUGCUGCAGUGAGGAAUAUUGCACAAUGGGGGGAACCCUGAUGCAGCAACGCCGCGUGGAGGAUGACGCAUUUCGGUGUGUAAACUCCUUUUAUAUGUCAAGAAAAUGACGGUAGCAUAUGGAUAAGCACCGGCUAACUCCGUGCCAGCAGCCGCGGUAAUACGGAGGGUGCAAGCGUUACUCGGAAUCACUGGGCGUAAAGGACGCGUAGGCGGGCUUGUAAGUCAGGUGUGAAAUCCUACAGCUUAACUGUAGAACUGCACUUGAAACUACGAGCCUAGAGUAUGGGAGGGGGAGAUGGAAUUAGUGGUGUAGGGGUAAAAUCCGUAGAUAUCACUAGGAAUACCUAAAGCGAAGGCGAUCUCCUGGAACAUAACUGACGCUAAGGCGUGAAAGCGUGGGGAGCAAACAGGAUUAGAUACCCCAGUAGUC